AGGAAGGGCAGGGAAAUGGGAGGGAAAAAAAGAAAUUUCAUGUGGUUGCCUUGCUUUGGUAUCAAAUUGAAGAAAUCAUUAUCAAGUUCAAUAUAAAGCUUUUGCUUUUUGUUUUCUUCAAAGAAAUGUGGCUUGUUUUUAAGUCUUUGAAUUUGGGUUCAUUUUUGCAUGUAGUGCUAAGUAAAGGUUGAACUUCAGUCUUUUGCAUGUGGAAAACAGUUUUUCAAUUGUUGAAAAAAUUAUCCCUUCUUCACUGAAUUCCUAUGGAACUUUUGUAAAAAAUUAUUUAACCACAAAUGUAAGAGCUUAUUUCUGUGUUCUGUUGUCUAUUUAAUCUGUAUGUCCAUAUUUAUAUCUUGUAUCACAUCAAUUUGAUUACUGUAGCAUUAUAGUAUGUUUUGAAUUUAGAAAUUGUGUGUCCUCCAGUAUCAUUUCUCUUUUUUGACAUUGUUUGAGAUAUUUAGUUUUCUUUGAGAUUCCAUAUGUAAGGAGACAUUUCCUCCAGGAGCAGAUUUAGAGUAAUAUCAGUAUUCACUGAACUACCAAAUGUUGGUUCAGUUAAGUGAGCACUUAUUUUGGGGCAUAAAGGAUGGAGGCCUGAGCUGAGUUUUGCUACCAGCCUCAACUAUAAACAGAGGUGAAGAAAUACUUGGAGAUAAAAGUUCAAAGUUAUCUAGGUCCUCCUGGGUUUAUGAGAUAUUUCCACAUAUCACCUGGAAUGAUGGACAUAAAUUUAUACUGCACCCAAAUGUUGAGUGGUACCCUUCAAUCUUCUACAACAGAGGUUAUUGGAGUUUUUUCCUUCCUGGAAGAGGGAGAUAUUCCUUAUUUCACCAUCAAAAACACAGAUUUAGUGUCCAUGGUGUGACUCAUGUGUCUCACAAAUUGCUAGUGCCAAUUCACAACAAUACACAACUGAGUCAAGUACAACUCUUCAAUUAAUUAAAACUUCAUACCAAAAUAAAUACCAAUGAUACCCACCACAAAGAGCUGUCCUUUGUGGUUUCAUCUGUCUUGCCAAGUUAUGGUAUAUUUCCUGAUGUGUGUACACAUCAGGAGCCUAGACAGGGUUGCAUAUGUAAUUAGUCUUUAAAUGUUAAUAUGUUGGUUAGCUUAUCCCAUAGCAAAAUCCCACACUUUUGAUAUUUUCUGUUAUGUCAUAAAGACACAAGUAGAACUGGAAUGAGAAAUUACAUUCAACUUCACUUAUGAAUCAGACACAGAACUGAGCAACUGAAAUAAAAGCCAUACACUCUUAUUUCACACAGUGAAACUUUGAUACUAAUCUUUGUUAACAUGAGAAGAUGUACUUGUUAUCACACAUGUACCAGAAAGUGACUUGAUCAUAGCAAAACCUUAAGGACAUUUGAGUUUGUGGAAUUUGAGAAGCUCUGGAUACAAAUAUCCCAUCAAGUGACAAAUUCAUAUGGCAGGGAAAAGAAGCUGCAUUGGAUGGGGCAAAAAAUCAUUAGUUGAAAACACUUUCCUGGAUUUCCUUUCCACUAAGGGAGUGAUACCACACCAGUGAGAAGCAGGCAAUCUCCCCAGAGGCUGCAGUCCUCCCCACAAAGUGACAAAGCCAGGGAAAGGAAGAGUGGUGCUGUUCCCCUUCCUCCUGCCUUGUGAGUGGCCUUCAUGCUUACACUUCUUGCUGAAAUAGUGAGGCAGGGGAUGCUAGUUAAAUUUCCAGUUAAAGAGGAAUGAUAAAUGGAAAUUCACUGAGGCACCCAUCAUCAUUCAUGUGAAACAAGCAAAAUAAUUUAUCAUUUCUGUUUGGUGUUCUGUUUGUGUUGUUCAAGUCUAGUAAACCUAAAGAAAUAAGAUAUUUCAUAAGUUUAUAUACAACACGAAAGUCUACCAAGUGCUUCCAUUAAUUCUGUAUCAGGUUUUAAGUUAUUCAAUGUCAAAUAAUUCUCUCUUGGAUGUUUUUAGGAACCUAAAUCUUGUUGGGGAAGAAAGAUUAUGUUAUAAUCCUCUGAGAUUUGGAGUCCAGCAUUAUAAUCACUCCAACAAUCAGUCUUAUAAGAACUGGUUCUGGUCUCCUUGAAGCUUUUGGAUUUGGGGUGUAACCAAGUCAGUAACUGGAUAGAACUAAUGCCUCCAACACUGCUAUUCACCCCACAGUGUCCUUAACUCUUUGUUGUUCAGUCAAAUCCUAGUGUUGUACACCCAAGGUGAGUUAUGGAGGAUUAAUUACAGUCCUGAGAAUCUAAGCAGGAGAUGGCAGCUCAGCUGUCCUGAUCCCUGGAUGACUCUUUUCAUGGAUUCAGCCUUAGUUAAACUUAGCAUUUACUGUUGGUAAUACAUAAGUGUGGACAGAAUACAUUUCUAAGUGACUCCCUUUAAGAAAUUUGGAUAUAUCUUUGUAAAUAUUAAUAUCUAUCAAAACCAAUAUGCUUUCUAAAAUUCAGACAAUGAAUAGAAAAAGGUGGUAUCUCUCUUUGAAUAAAAAGCAAAUACAUUUAAAUCAUACACCCAAUGUGGGUAAAAGAAAUUUAUCAGAAGGGAAAAAACGAUCAGCUCUACUUAGACUACCUGUUCCAGAACUACAUUAGUUUCUUAUUCAGAAAUGUACUUGAUUAGCUUAGGUACUAUUCAUUACACCAGAGCUACCAAUACCUUUGCUACCCAGUUCAGAAGAAAGGGCAUAGAUCAGAUGUCAGUGGAUAAAGUAAAUCAUUACCCUCACUUUAAUAGUUAAAAUUUAAGAAAGAAAAUGAACACAGUAUUGCUUUCCCCACAAACAGAUGAACAUGUUACAAAUGACAUGGUAAUUUCAAGGAGAGUUACAGUUGUUUUUUUUGUUUGUUUGCUUUUUUAUUCUAAGAGUUGGCUCAAUGCUUCAUUACUGAAAAAGUGUAAUCAGGCAAGACCUUCCCAUCUGAGCUCUGCUGUGGUCUGGGAGUUGCUAAUGACUAUCUGACAGCUUGUCACAGACCUUGGAUUUUCCCCUGGUGUCUCUGGUUGGUUUUCCUCCUUUUUGGCAGUGGUUAAGGUGCAGAUUGCCAAGAGACACCGUACUCAGGAUGUUGAGGAUUCUGUUUCCAGCAAGCCUUCUUUUACUAUCCUUUUCUAUAUUACAACUCUGUUCCAGUUCUCCUUAGAAUUUUCAUACUAGUACAGUUUUAAUUUGCAUUUGUUUGUUAUAUCACUUUGCAUGACUCUCUUCU
rnacentral:lncRNA from 1 species